UACGUAGGGUGCAAGCGUUAAUCGGAAUUACUGGGCGUAAAGCGUGCGCAGGCGGUUUUGUAAGACCGAUGUGAAAUCCCCGGGCUUAACCUGGGAAUGGCGAUGGAGACUGCGAGGCUAGAGUUUGGCAGAGGGGGGUGGAAUUCCACGUGUAGCAGUGAAAUGCGUAGAGAUGUGGAGGAACACCGAUGGCGAAGGCAGCCCCCUGGGCUGAGAUUGACGCUCAGGCACGAAAGCGUGGGGAGCAAACAGG
rnacentral:rRNA from 1 species